CCUACGGGGGGCAGCAGUGGGGAAUAUUGGGCAAUGGAGGCAACUCUGACCCAGCAACGCCGCGUGAAUGAUGAAGGUCUUCGGAUUGUAAAGUUCUGUGAUGGGGGAUGAACACAAUGACGUUACCCCAAUAUCAAGCCACGGCUAACUACGUGCCAGCAGCCGCGUUAAUACGUAGGUGGCAAGCGUUAUCCGGAAGGACUGGGUGUAAAGGGUGCGUAGGUGGUUUAGUAAGUUGGCGGUGUAAUUCCGGGGCUUAACCUCGGCGCUACCGCCAAAACUAUUAGACUUGAGUGCAGGAGGGGUAAGUGGAAUUCCUAGUGUAGCGGUGGAAUGCGUAGAUAUUAGGAGGAACAUCAGGGGCGAAGGCGACUUACUGGACUGUAACUGACACUGAGGCACGAAAGCGUGGGGAGCAAACAGGAUUAGAUACCCCAGUAGUC
rnacentral:rRNA from 1 species